rnacentral:rRNA from 1 species
ACGAACGCUGGCGGCGUGCUUAACACAUGCAAGUCGAACGGUGAAGCGCCUUCCUUUUUGGUGGGUGUGGAUGAGUGGCGAACGGGUGAGUAACACGUGAGUAACCUGCCCCCUUCUUCUGGAUAACCGCAUGAAAGUGUGGCUAAUACGGGAUAUUCUGGGUCUGUCGCAUGAUGGGUCUGGGAAAGAUAUUGUUUCGGUGGGGGAUGGGCUCGCGGCCUAUCAGCUUGGUGGUGGGGUGAUGGCCUACCAAGGCGGUGACGGGUAGCCGGCCUGAGAGGGUGGACGGUCACACUGGGACUGAGACACGGCCAAGACUCCUACGGGAGGCAGCAGUGGGGAAUAUUGCACAAUGGGCGCAAGCCUGAUGCAGCGACGCCGCGUGAGGGAUGGAGGCCUUCGGGUUGUGAACCUCUUUCGCCAGUGAAGCAGGCCUGCCUCGUUUGUGGGUGGGUUGACGGUAGCUGGAUAAGAAGCGCCGGCUAACUACGUG